rnacentral:rRNA from 1 species
UACGGAGGGGGCUAGCGUUGUUCGGAAUUACUGGGCGUAAAGCGCGCGUAGGCGGCUUUGUAAGUUAGAGGUGAAAGCCUGGGGCUCAACUCCAGAACUGCCUUUAAGACUGCAUCGCUUGAAUCAUGGAGAGGCGGGUGGAAUUCCGAGUGUAGAGGUGAAAUUCGUAGAUAUUCGGAAGAACACCAGUGGCGAAGGCGGCCCGCUGGACAUGUAUUGACGCUGAGGUGCGAAAGCGUGGGGAGCAAACAGG